rnacentral:rRNA from 1 species
UACAGAGGGGGCAAGCGUUGUUCGGAAUUACUGGGCGUAAAGGGCGCGUAGGCGGCCUUCUAAGUCGAACGUGAAAUCCCCGGGCUCAACCCGGGAACUGCGUCCGAUACUGGAAGGCUUGAAUCCGGGAGAGGGAUGCGGAAUUCCAGGUGUAGCGGUGAAAUGCGUAGAUAUUCGGAAGAACACCAGUGGCGAAGGCGACUUACUGGACACAUAUUGACGCUGAGGUGCGAAAGCGUGGGGAGCAAACAGG